rnacentral:rRNA from 1 species
UAAACUGCCCAAGAGAUCGGGAUAACACCUGGAAACAGAUGCUAAUACCGGAUAACAACAGAUGAUGCCUAUCAACUGUUUAAAAGAUGGUUCUGCUAUCACUCUUGGAUGGACCUGCGGUGCAUUAGCUAGUUGGUAGGGUAACGGCCUACCAAGGCGAUGAUGCAUAGCCGAGUUGAGAGACUGAUCGGCCACAUUGGGACUGAGACACGGCCCAAACUCCUACGGGAGGCAGCAGGU